CGGUGAAGCAGCAGUCGGUGAAGCAGCAGUCGGUGAAGCAGCAGUGCAGUGAAGCAGCAGUGCAGUGAAGCAGCAGUCGGUGAAGCAGCAGUGCAGUGAAGCGUUGUGUUGUAUCAGCAUGGUCAACUCAGUAUUCCCAUACUGCUGGACCCUGUGCCUGAUCCAGCUGGCUACAGGACUGGUUCAUGGAAACAUYCGUCUAGAGGACUCCCAUCCCAGCCUCAGACGCAMCGAYGACUCCUUCCUCUCAGAUAUAGGUAAAGGCUCUCUCUCYAGAGGGGAUCCUGUUGGUUUCCRCUCAGAGUCUGAGGAAGAGGAGGAGGAAGAGGAGGAGCUGCUGAUGGACAUGGAAACCUACGAUGAG